UACGUAGGGUGCAAGCGUUUAUCCGGAAUUAUUGGGCGUAAAGAGCUCGUAGGCGGUUUGUCGCGUCUGCUGUGAAAACUGGGGGCUCAACCCCCAGCCUGCAGUGGGUACGGGCAGACUAGAGUGCGGUAGGGGAGAUUGGAAUUCCUGGUGUAGCGGUGGAAUGCGCAGAUAUCAGGAGGAACACCGAUGGCGAAGGCAGGUCUCUGGGCCAUUACUGACACUGAGAAGCGAAAGCAUGGGGAGCGAACAGG
rnacentral:rRNA from 1 species